rnacentral:rRNA from 1 species
CCUACGGGUGGCAGCCGUGGGGAAUAUUGGGCAAUGGGCGCAAGCCUGACCCAGCAACGCCGCGUGAAGGAAGAAGGCUUUCGGGUUGUAAACUUCUUUUCUCAGGGACGAAGCAAGUGACGGUACCUGAGGAAUAAGCCACGGCUAACUACGUGCCAGCAGCCGCGGGAAUACGUAGUGGGCAAGCGUUAUCCGGAUUUACUGGGUGUAAAGGGUGUGUAGGCGGGACGGCAAGUCAAAUGUGAAAACCACGGGCGCAACCUGUGGCCUGCAUUUGAAACUGUAGUUCUUGAGUACUGGAGAGGCAGACGGAAUUCCUAGUGUAGCGGUGACAUGCGUAGAUAUUAGGAGGAACACCAGUGGCGAAGGCGGGCUGCUGGACAGCAACUGACGCUGAGGCGCGAAAGCGUGGGGAGCAAACAGGAUUAGAUACCCUGGUAGUC